GCUGCCGCGUAGGACAGUCACAUGAUGGCUUUGUGGAGAAGUCAGCAGAGAUCAUAGUACCUAAAGGAAACGAGUUGCAGCACAACUGCAUACGUCUUACAAUUAGGGAAGGAC
rfam:Leeuwenhoekiella marinoflava DSM 3653 genome assembly, contig: EJ63DRAFT_scaffold00006.6